rnacentral:siRNA from 1 species
ACAUGUGAGAAGGUGAUGAUAC